GUUUUCUGCGGAGCUGGCAUUUGGGUUUGGAUUUAAAGGGCAAGAAGGAGCCAGACAAGCCAAGGUGUAAGAGAAGAGUCCUCCAAGCAGCAGGGAAGCAAGUGCAAAGGUCCUUGCAGAAGCGAGCUUGGCAUAUUAGAGGGACAGAGGGAGGCCGGAGCAACUGGAGGGUCUUCAGAGACUAUCAAGUGCCAACAAGGGGAUUACCCCUCUGCCCCUCUAAAGGAUUGCAAGAAAGAAGACACCAAAUCCAUGGCAUUUUUUCCCUUAGGAAAGAAGGGAGAUAAUGAGAAGCCUCCACUUGGUAUUCCUUGGAGCAGCUGGAAGCUAAAAACCAAAUGUGGGAACUGUGAAUCCUAUCUCUGGGAUAUGUUUUCUCAGGAAAUGGAGGAAAUGGGUGGGCACGGGUGGCAAAAUAUUCCAGGGGAAUACUUCUUCCUGGGCCUUGUGGGGAACAACUCCCAAAAGGCCAGUGGUUCUCAGCUUUAAGCCUGUGUUAGAAUCACCUGCAGGGCUUAUUAAAACACAGAUUGCCGGGCCUUACCCCCAGAGUUUGAUUUAGUAUUUCUGGGAGUUGGAUCUAUAAUUUGCAUUUCUGAAAGUUCCCAGGUGAUACUGAUGCUCCUGGUCCCAGGACCACAGACAAAUUCUCCUUCUUGUAGCCCCUCAUUCACUCUGCGUAGGAGGCAUGGCUCAUCUGGCUGGUGGGUUUGGGAGGAGGAGCAGACCAUGCUCAGUUAGCCCUCCCCACUCUCCCUUUCUCUCUCUCCCCAUCGCCCUAGCUGCAGAGCAUAUUCAGACAGCUCUCCAAUCAGUUCAUCAGUAAUAAAGGUGACAUGCUGAUCCUCAUCUGUUUUUCUCUUGCAUCUGCCAAUUGAUUCUGCACUUGAGAGGGGAAUAAGUAUAUUUAUUUAUUGGGUUUCCCUCAAAUUCCAACAGAGAAGUUGGUAUCAGUUGCAAAACAAUCAACUGGCAUCCGGGCCACACAGCAGCAUAGGAAUCUUGGUUUUAGCUUCCACUAAAAUAUCAAUUAUUUGAGGGCAAAAAAUGUCCAAUUCCUGGGCCUUUAAGAUAGGAAGUCAGGUCUGUGGAUGGGGUGAGGUCACCAGGAUGAGGUCACAAAGGCAUUGAUGCCCCUUUGUCCUAUCAUGUGACCACUUGUCACACUUCCAUCAAACAGUACCUGCCCCUUAGGUGUGCUAGGGAAUAAAUGAAAUGCCUGGGACAUCAUCGUUAAGUGGCAUCUGAUGCAUAAGCAGUGCCCUAGGAAUGGGGUUGCCUGCCUUGGUCUCUAAAGGAUGGGUUCAAAAGGCAAGAGCAGCACACAAGAAGAUAGCUUCAAGCAGGAGAUAAAGCUUGGCCCAGGGCCCAAAGGGGAUACGACCCUUCAGCAAACUGACAUGCUGAAAGCUGCCCUAUGGAGAGGCUCAUGUGGCAAGGAACAGAGGGUGGCUUCUGGCCAACACCCAGUGAGGAACUCAGGCCCUCAGUCAAACAGCCUGCAAGGAACUGAACCCUGCCAAUAACCGCAGUGUCAGCCCCCGGCCAAUGACCACCAUGGACCUCCCUGUAGUUGAACAAAGUUGGGUUUGCUGACUGGUGGCAGUGAGGGAGAAUGCACACCACAGGGAGCUGUGCAGUGUCUCAGUAAGAAGCCAGGAGCCAUCCCGUGAGGCCGUUACUGCAAACAAGCUGAAAAUCCUGCUUUGUUUCUUUUGGACACAACAUGCUUUCCUUCAGCUUCAGUAGACGAUGAGGCCAGCACCACAUGGGCUAGAUGUACAUGAGAUGUGAGCAACCACACUUCCCCUCUGACGGGGACAGACAGCAUCACAGGACAUGAAGUUCUAAGAGGUUCAGUGACUUGUCUAAGAUUAAACAGCUAUGAAUGGAGAACUGGAGGCAAAUGCCUCAUCAUCUCUCACCUGGGCAACUGCAACAAUGAGCAGUUUGUGUCUGUGCCUGCAUCCAUCCUUCCAUCCUGUACUCCAGCAGCAGCCAGGGUGGUCUUUCAAAAAUGCAAAGCUGAUAAUGUUACUCCCCUGCUGUAAACCUUCCAGCGGUUUCCUAUUGCCUUCAGAAUAAAAUACGAAUCAUCUGGCCUCCAUCUAUCUCUCCAGGCUCAUCCUCUCUCAAUUUUCCAUAUCCUUCAGGCUGAGCUCUGAAACUUCUCCUGGCAGUUCAAGAGAGCGAUGGAGGGAAUGCUGGGGCACAUCUAAAUAAAGCCUCCAAGUGGGAGUUCCUGCUCAGCUAUGCAUGAGCUCUUUGUGACUUCAUCUCCCAGCCUACAACUUGUGAAAUAAGCACGACUUCACUCAGAGCACAGCCAGAAACAUACAAACUUUCCAAAAAUAUUUGAAUGUUGACAGCAGACUGUCUUGCAUUCCAGUGAAUAAUUGGUUUGUAUGAGUGUGUGUGUGACCUAAAUCCACAGAACUUACCAUUCUGUGGCUAUAC
rnacentral:lncRNA from 10 species